GAUCAUGGCUCAGAUUGAACGCUGGCGGCAUGCCUUACACAUGCAAGUCGAACGGCAGCGGGGCCUUCGGGGUGCCGGCGAGUGGCGAACGGGUGAGUAAUGCAUCGGAACGUGCCAUUGAGUGGGGGAUAACGUAGCGAAAGUUACGCUAAUACCGCAUAUUCUGUGAGCAGGAAAGCAGGGGACCGCAAGGCCUUGCGCUCUUUGAGCGGCCGAUGUCAGAUUAGCUAGUUGGUGAGGUAAAGGCUUACCAAGGCGACGAUCUGUAGCGGGUCUGAGAGGAUGAUCCGCCACACUGGAACUGAGACACGGUCCAGACUCCUACGGGAGGCAGCAGUGGGGAAUUUUGGACAAUGGGCGCAAGCCUGAUCCAGCCAUGCCGCGUGAGUGAAGAAGGCCUUCGGGUUGUAAAGCUCUUUCGGCCGGGAAGAAAUCGCAUGGGUUAAUACCCUGUGUGGAUGACGGUACCGGAAUAAGAAGCACCGGCUAACUACGUG
rnacentral:rRNA from 1 species